rnacentral:rRNA from 1 species
CUACGGGCGUCAGCAGUGGGGAAUAUUGGGCAAUGGACGCAAGUCUGACCCAGCAACGCCGCGUGAAGGAAGAAGGCUUUCGGGUUGUAAACUUCUUUUAAGGGGGAUGAGCAGAAGACGGUACCCCUUGAAUAAGCCACGGCUAACUACGUGCCAGCAGCCGCGGUAAUACGUAGGUGGCAAGCGUUGUCCGGAUUUACUGGGUGUAAAGGGCGUGCAGCCGGAGAGACAAGUCAGAUGUGAAAUCCACGGGCGCAACCCGUGAACUGCAUUUGAAACUGUUUCCCUUGAGUGUCGGAGAGGUAAUCGGAAUUACUUGUGUAGCGGUGAAAUGCGUAGAUAUUAGGAGGAACACCAGUGGCGAAGGCGGCCUGCUGGGCUUUUACUGACGCUGAGGCUCGAAAGUGUGGGGAGCGAAAGGGAUUAGAUACCCGUGUAGUC